GUAGGGUGCAAGCGUUAAUCGGAAUUACUGGGCGUAAAGCGUGCGCAGGCGGUUGUGCAAGACAGGUGUGAAAUCCCCGGGCUUAACCUGGGAACUGCACUUGUGACUGCACAGCUGGAGUACGGCAGAGGGGGAUGGAAUUCCGCGUGUAGCAGUGAAAUGCGUAGAUAUGCGGAGGAACACCGAUGGCGAAGGCAGUCCCCUGGGCCUGUACUGACGCUCAUGCACGAAAGCGUGGGGAGCAAACAGGAUUAGAUACCCUGGUAGUCCACGCCCUAAACGAUGUCAACUGGUUGUUGGGAAGGUUUCUUCUCAGUAACGUAGCUAACGCGUGAAGUUGACCGCCUGGGGAGUACGGCCGCAAGGUUG
rnacentral:rRNA from 1 species